rnacentral:rRNA from 1 species
CUACGGGCGGCAGCAGUCAAGAAUAUUCCGCAAUGGACGAAAGUCUGACGGAGUGACGCCGCGUGCAGGAAGAAGCCCUUCGGGGUGUAAACUGCUUUUAUAUAGGAAGAAUUAGUGACGGUACUAUAUGAAUAAGAGGUUGCUAACUCUGUGCCAGCAGCAGCGGUAAUACAGAGACCUCAAACGUUGUCCGGAUUCAUUGGGCGUAAAGCGUCCGCAGGUGGUUUGGUAAGUUAAUGGUCAAAUCUUAGGGCUUAACUCUGAGACUGCUAUUAAUACUGCCAGACUUGAGACUGGGAGGGGCACACGGAACUGUCGGUGCAGUAGUAAAAUGCGUUGAUAUCGACAGGAACACCAAAGGCGAAGGCAGUGUGCUAGAACAGUUCUGACACUCAUGGGCGAAAGCGUGGGUAGCGAAUGGGAUUAGAUACCCGUGUAGUC